rnacentral:lncRNA from 1 species
UGAAUAUUAUGAUUUUCACCAUUGUUCUUGCUUCCCGUUAUGGUACUCACAAUAAACCAGUACACGAAUACCAGCACCUCGCUCGAGCUCCUUCUCUUUUACAACGGGUCAAGUCCAUCGACUACUUCUCCUUCUACAAUUUCCCACCUGCCCAGGAACCCCAAAACACUACCCAGGAACAUGAUCCUCCCCAGCUCGAAAGAGCCCCUUCUCUUUUACAACGGGUCAAGUCCAUCGACUACUUAUCCUUCUACAAAUUCCCACCUGCCCAAGAACCCGAAAACACUACCCAGGAACAUGAUCCUCCCCAGCUCGAAAGAGCUCCUUCACUUUUAGAACGGGUCAAGUCCAUCAACUUCUCUUCUUUAUACUACAGUUCGGGACCGGAAGAAACAACCCAACGUCUCCCAGCUC